AGGAAAAGAAACUAACCAGGAUUUCCCUAGUAGCGGCGAGCGAACAGGAAAGAGCCCAGCACCGAAUCCCGCGGUUUCGCCGCAGGGAAAUGUGGUGUUUGGGAGGGUCCGAUUAUCCCGAGGUGUCGCGCCGCGUCCAAGUCCAUCUUGAAUGGGGCCACUUACCCGCAGAGGGUGCCAGGCCCGUAGCGACCGGUGCGCGUCUCGGGAGGAUCUCUCCUUAGAGUCGGGUUGCUUGAGAGUGCAGCUCUAAGUGGGUGGUAAACUCCAUCUAAGGCUAAAUACGACCACGAGACCGAUAGCGAACAAGUACCGUGAGGGAAAGUUGAAAAGAACUUUGAAGAGAGAGUUCAAGAGUACGUGAAACCGUUCAGGGGUAAACCUAAGAAACCCAAAAGAUCGAACGGGGAGAUUCAUCGUCAGCGACGCUGGCUUCGCGUCGGUGGGCGAUGUCCCGCGGGGCCUCGCGGCCCGCGCGCGGGCACGCUGCCGUGCGUCGAUGUCCGGCGUUCGUCGUCGUGCACUUCUCCCCUAGUAGAACGUCGCGACCCGCUGGGUGUCGGUCUACGGCCCGGGUGCGGUGACUGACGCGUCGCCGGUAAAACGGCACGCGUCAAACCCCCGGUCGCCCGGCCGGCUGCCCGGCGGUACACGCAAGGUAUCAGGCCGCAACUCUCAAAACACGUAGAGUGCGUCGAGGCCGUCGCAAGCGCGCGCCACGGUACACGGAGGCUAACGGACCUGGCGCCGUCACCGGUCCUGGCCCGCUGUUGGUCGUACGGUUAACCUUCGACAGGCCUGCGAACGUCCCCCGCGGGGGACUACGUCGGCGACGCUACUGCUUUGGGUACUCUUAGGACCCGUCUUGAAACACGGACCAAGGAGUCUAACAUGUACGCGAGUCAUUGGGACUUGAGCGAUACCUAAAGGCGAAAUGAAAGUGAAGGUCGGCCCUGGUUGUCGACCGAGGGAGGAUGGGCCGCGUCGCGAUGCGGCUCCGCACUCCCGGGGCGUCUCGUUCUCAUCGCGAGAAGAGGCGCACCCAGAGCGUACACGUUGGGACCCGAAAGAUGGUGAACUAUGCCUGGUCAGGACGAAGUCAGGGGAAACCCUGAUGGAGGUCCGUAGCGAUUCUGACGUGCAAAUCGAUCGUCGGAACUGGGUAUAGGGGCGAAAGACUAAUCGAACCAUC
rnacentral:rRNA from 1 species